CGCUGGCGGCAUGCCUUACACAUGCAAGUCGAACGGCAGCGGACCUUCGGGUGCCGGCGAGUGGCGAACGGGUGAGUAAUGCAUCGGAACGUACCCUAGAGUGGGGGAUAACUAUCCGAAAGGAUAGCUAAUACCGCAUAUUCUAUGAGUAGGAAAGCGGGGGAUCUUCGGACCUCGCGCUCUAGGAGCGGCCGAUGUCAGAUUAGCUAGUUGGUGGGGUAAAGGCCUACCAAGGCGACGAUCUGUAGCGGGUCUGAGAGGAUGAUCCGCCACACUGGGACUGAGACACGGCCCAGACUCCUACGGGAGGCAGCAGUGGGGAAUUUUGGACAAUGGGGGCAACCCUGAUCCAGCCAUGCCGCGUGAGUGAAGAAGGCCUUCGGGUUGUAAAGCUCUUUCGGCCGGGAAGAAAUCGUGUGGGCUAAUACCCUGCAUGGAUGACGGUACCGGAAUAAGAAGCACCGGCUAACUACGUGCCAGCAGCCGCGGUAAUACGUAGGGUGCGAGCGUUAUCCGGAUUCAUUGGGUUUAAAGGGUGCGCAGGCGGGCGUAUAAGUCAGGGGUGAAAUGCCACGGCUCAACCGUGGAACUGCCUUUGAUACUGUAUGUCUUGAGUUUAGUUGAAGUGGGCGGAAUGUAGCAUGUAGCGGUGAAAUGCAUAGAGAUGCUACAGAACACCGAUAGCGAAGGCAGCUCACUAAGUUAAGACUACGCUCUC
rnacentral:rRNA from 1 species